rnacentral:rRNA from 1 species
CCUACGGGAGGCAGCAGUGAGGAAUAUUGGUCAAUGGACGAGAGUCUGAACCAGCCAAGUAGCGUGAAGGAUGACUGCCCUAUGGGUUGUAAACUUCUUUUAUAUGGGAAUAAAAUGUUCCACGUGUGGGAUUUUGUAUGUACCAUAUGAAUAAGGAUCGGCUAACUCCGUGCCAGCAGCCGCGGUAAUACGGAGGAUCCGAGCGUUAUCCGGAUUUAUUGGGUUUAAAGGGAGCGUAGGUGGAUUGUUAAGUCAGUUGUGAAAGUUUGCGGCUCAACCGUAAAAUUGCAGUUGAUACUGGCAGUCUUGAGUACAGUAGAGGUAGGCGGAAUUCGUGGUGUAGCGGUGAAAUGCUUAGAUAUCACGAAGAACUCCGAUUGCGAAGGCAGUUCACUGGACUGCAACUGACACUGAGGCUCGAAAGUGUGGGUAUCAAACAGGAUUAGAUACCCUUGUAGUC